rnacentral:misc_RNA from 1 species
CAACAGAAUGGAGAUUCAGUCCAAACAAGCACUCACUUUGCUGGCCAUUCACCAGUAUAUGGCCACAGUAUGAGUGCCAUUUACUGACACAAACCCUUUUUUUUAGGCCAAUAUUGUACACACAAAAAACACUUAGAAAAUGUUUAAAUAGUAUGUCCAAACUGAAGGAAAAAGAAGUUUCCUCUAAUGUGGUACAACUAUUUAAAUUAUGCCUAUGUAGCAUAGUUUCUAGGCAGAACUAUCUAUAACAAGCUUAUUUACAAUACACUACCUUUCUUCUAGAUUGACAGCAAGCAUACAAUUAACAUCAUCCAAAAACGUCCAAAGAGUCUGACCGAGUCAAGACUAAUGAAAGAAGUUUCUUCCUCUGAGGUAGACUAUUAAUUCUAUACCUAUUUACACAAGUAACAAAGACAACAUGACAUCAAAAUGAAUCAUUUAACAGCAUAUAUCAUCAUGCAAAAACAAGGAUAAAAAUUGGAUCCUAUGGACUUAUUCAGUAUAUGUACUAUACCACAUCAACAUAGCCGAUUGCCUAUGAAAUUAACAAAUGUUCUAUAAUACAUCCACACUCAGCCAAUGCUUGUAUGGGAGUUACAUAAUACACAGGACAGGAGCCAGGGGUUGAAAGUGAUAAUAGAGAAUAUCGUUUGUCAUCAUUCCAUUACACAAUUUUAGAAAUAUAUUCAAAAUGCGAAGGCCUCAUAUAAGGCCACGUGCAGCUCACAGUUCAGUAUAUUGCCGUAUGCAGAUAUCAAAGACUGCGCAUCCAUCAAUAAAAGAAACAAGGAAGAGGGUCCCAUUAAUCGUGAAUUGCAGAUUCCAAAUGUUAAUUUCAGAUGACAAGUGUCAAAUCAACACAAAAAUAAAUAAUUAUUCAUAUUCAAAAUGUUACACUCAUGGAAAAACCGGAUACGGCCAUUUCCUAAACUAAAGUCUCAUAAUCAAAGCAUUAGAACCAGUGAUUAUCACCUGGAAAUGAUUUCCGGGCAAACUAGUCAGUUAACAGGUAUUUAACUACAUGAUGUCAAGAAAGUCAUUUCUACAGCAUUGCUCUUAAGGAAAUUAAAUUAUAGACAGAAAAACAAAACAAGCAACACUGAUGAAGAUUGAUGGUAAAAGCAAAAGUCAAAAGUGAACUAAACACUAACAAAGCAAGGCAAAGGAAAAUAUAGAAGAAAAGGUAAUUCGCAUCAACCGUCCCAACAUUUCUGCAGACAACCACAAGGUUUGCAACAAUGGCAACAGAUUUUUCCUUCAAACUUUGGCCUUCCUGAAACGUCAAGUAUUUAAAAAGUACCUAUAUUUGGCAGCAGACGGGAUGUACAUAAUAAGCACGAAAUGCCAAACAGGCUUCCAAAGGCAGAAGAUGACUGAACCCUUCAACCAGGAAGACAUCCAUACUUUAGAAGAAGAAUUCAUUGAGCAAACUCAAUCAUUGUUUCCCUUCAGCCCACCAAUAUAGCUUUCCUGCUCUCCAUCCUCAAUGUUUCCAGUAAGCAUUUCUCUACUAUUGUUAUUGUGGACAAGAUCCAGGAAAAAAUCUGUCAAAACAGACUCAUAAUUUGGCAUCUUGGCAUAGCCCGGAAAAUAGUUUAUAUCAAUGACAAGAUACCUAUUCCUAUCUUUAGCAUCCCUAAUAACAUCAAAGUUGAACAAAUUAAGCCCCGUUUCCCGCCUCAUUGCCCUGGCUAUCUCCUCGACAAAUCCCAACGGCGGCAUUUCCACUUUCUCAAGAUCAACUACAUCACCAAAGCCCUCAUUCUUCCCUCGCACAGUCAAAUUCGAAAUUUGAGAAAAUGAUAAGGAGCCCUUCAAUGUGGCUAAUUUCUCCUGGGAUAUAUCAGGCAAUGACUUCCUCUUUACACAUUGCACGUAGUCACCAGCCACAUAAACUUUGAAAAUCACGCCACCAUGGUUCACAAAGUCCUGCAAUAUAAUAGGAGCAUCUAGCCUCUUCAACCCUUCACUGUCAAAAAUCUGAUACAUUUUGUGGGAUUUUGCGCUCCCGUCAGCUACUAAUGGUUUCGCUACUAAAGGAAACCCUAUCUCCCCAACUACACCAUUUCCCUUCAAAUUCUCCGAAUCCAAAACAACAACCUGUUUAGGCACAUCCAACACUUGGCUUCUCUUAGGUAUAUUUAACCGACUGACAACUUCGAGCAUAGAAAUUCGAUUGUGCAGCCUCUCGAUGGAAUCAGGAGAAUCAAUAAUGGGAACCUUAGGGUUUUCCAAAUAGAACUUCUCCAGUUGCAGCUUCCAAUCUGGGCCAUACAAUUUGUGAAUGACACAAUCAAAUGGCCCUUGUUCAAUUAGGGAUUUUGAAGGAUCGAUGGCGAUCAGAUCGACGUUGUGGCGACUCGCGUGGCUAAUGAGCGAGGGCUGGAUAAAGCUCUGCACUUUCUUGGGCGCCAGUGCGUAGCCUAUGCGGUGCCGUUUCGCCUGGAUUGACAUGGUUGCCUUUUGGCAGGUAAGAAACCAGAGAAAACAAAGAAACAAGAAACUAAAACAAAACAAUUUGAGAUUCUCAGAGAAUGAAAAGCUCUAUAGAGCAGUGAAGAGAAAGUGCAGAGAGGUUUUGUGAGCUAUAAUAUAAAGAGAGAAGAGGAUGCGGAGGGAAGGCAGGCUCUGGCUUUGGCCUUUUGCUCCUGAAGGUGAAGAGAGACAGAGAGCGUGCCGCUCAGCGCGUGGGAAAUCUCAGGAAAGAUGAUAUGGGAUUCGGGAGGCUUGAG